GAAGUUUUCGUUUUUUUCUUUUUCUUUUUUUUUUAUCACAUUAGAUGUUAGUGCCAAUGAGGUGUUGUAUAAAAAUUUGAGUGUGCAAAUGAAAUUACAAAAUAGUUUGAUAUGUAAUGGUGAUUAAUUUCGUGCAGGUGUAGUGUCUAUGUUUUGAAUAUUAUUAUGUAAGAGAGAUUAAGGAUGGUUUAAGAUUAUUUGCAUAAAAUUAGAGAGAAUACCAAGUAUGUGAG
rnacentral:lncRNA from 1 species